UUUCUUUCUUUUCUCUAUAGAUGAUGCUUGAAGUUGAAGCCUUAUAGCAACACCAAGGUCUACAGUAGAAAGUUGUCUGCUGAGACACCUGGAGACACAAGGGCAGGGCGCAUAUCUGUAAACACGGUACUUGGAUGUGACAGAAGGAAGCUGUGGAGGCACUGAGGGAGGUCACUUUCCACACAGCAGGCUUCUACAUCUGUGUGGUGGCGAGGUGAUGGAGUGCUACCAGGCUGGCUUCAGCAUCCCUCAAGGACGUUAUUUAAAGCCUGUUCUAACUCUGAAAGUAAUAAGAAUUUAUACUUGAGAAACUAAACUCAUAUUCUCGCUUACUGGAAGUCAUCCUUUUUGUUUUCUACCGCUGGCACAGUGAAGAGGUUGCAAACAGACACGUUUCGAAUUGUACUAGAAAUGCCCCACAGGACUCCAAUACAGUGUUAAAGAUCUGCAGAGGGAGAUGAAGGAGGAGAGAAGAGAAGCUGAUGCUUAGAAAGAAAGACAGCUCCACCAAGGUGUGCUUGCCAGCCUUCGGAGGUGCAAACCGCUCAGCACCUCCUAUGACUUUGUGCAAAGGUAGAAGGAAGCAGCUUGGAGUGAGAGCUUCUGAAGAAAUAGGAAAUCAAAAACCAAGAGAAGCCAAUAGCUCACAUGAGAGCCCAGAAGAGAACUCAGUGCCUUCGCUAGAGCCCUCGGGCAUCCCUCUGACUGUUUCAUCUGGAGUUGGAGGAUCCUGCAUUUCUUCUUCGAGGUGUGACUUGCAGGCCCACCUGAUGAUUUAGCUAAUCUCAUUGAGAGAUCUCUUUCCGGGGACGCUCUUGAGCCUAGCGAUUUUACACUGGCAAGUACAAGCUCCAGGUUUCUCUCUCUGAGUUAGAAGGAAUAUGAAGGACACCUUGAGGGAACUGAGAAAAAUCAGCCACAUUCUUCAUUAAUCAUGGUAGCUGCUCUUACUGAAGGUGAGCAGGAAGGAGCGUUGGGAAAAGGGCAGCUGAGGAUGAGAGCGCUGUGGCGCGUGGGUCACUUUGGACUGUUCUUCUCUCUACUGCCAGCCAGCCCUGGUAAGAGUGAUGGCGGAUGUCCCGCCCCACUGGCACACUGGCAAACCUUGCUAAUGCAGUGGAAAGGAUAAUUAUUCCCAGCCCUGAUUAUUUCACUUCCUCUGGCCUACAGGGGUAUUAAAGUUGAUUAAACACAUAUGCUUUGGGUAGACAGCAACUCCAGUCACAUAUGGAGCCGUCAGGCUUUUUCUUGCUCAGUAAGACAGACAGACCUCAAAGGCCACAAAGAGAUGGGGCUGAGCUUGGGUUGGAAGAUAGGAAGUGAGUUCAAAUGCUUCAUUACACACAAACCAGGGGAGAAGCCCCCCAAUAUUUUCUUAACUCUCCAUAUUUGUGUGCACAAAAGUUCAGAAAUGCUUCUUAAGAUAAAUUUUAAUAAUCUGUGAUUUCCCUCUCCUGUCAAAGGUAUGUUUUGAUGUUUAGUAUGUCCAUUUGCUUAAAAUUUGGUGUUUAUGUACAAAUGUAUGCCUAUGUGCCCUGAACUACAACCUGGAAGGAUGAUUUUCAGUGCAUGGGAGAUGACUCGCAUGCCCUCAGGAUUCAAUUAGUUCUUAAAAAAUAUAUUUCUAAAGGUGGCUGCUCCACUCUGUAACACUUUGUUUAAUUAAUCACAGCUUGAUUUUCUUCACCAGUGGCAUGGGGAAAUAUUAAGAAGCUGUAUAAACACACUCUGGAAUAAUUGAUCUUGAGAAAAACCUCUGAACUUAAUAUUUGUUCAUCUCAGCUGGUCUCUCCCAGCAGUAAUAGGGAGAGUGCCACUGGUACAGAGGGAAAUAGGGCCCCACCUGCAGGCUGGCAGGAUGGAUACUGGGAUGACACUAGUAGAUCUCUGCAAUUAUAGAGUUAUUUAUUUAUUUUUGGCUGAUAACAGUGGGCUCAAUAUGGUGAAAGUUCACCCUCUACAGAGUUGGGGCAUGUGGAGCACCUCUGUAGGAAGGGGAUUCAUGUAAUUAGGCAUACAAUUUCUUUUUCAUUAAUAAUAUUGGUGCAUGCAAGUGUGCAUGUGCAUGCAUGCGUUCGUGCGUUUGCAUGCGCAUGCAUAUGCACAUGAAAUUGUACACUUAUGCAUAUACCAUAGUGUACUUGUGAAGGUCAGAGGACAGUUUUUGGGAGUCAGUUCUUUUCUGUGGGCUUCAAGGAUUGAACUCAUGUCAUUAGGCUUCCGAGGCAAGAACAUUUAUUAUGAGCCAUCUCAUCAGUCCCAUAAAGAUGAAAAAUAUUUUAAAUAGUAAAAUAAUAAAUAUUUAAAAAUGUCCA
rnacentral:lncRNA from 1 species